rnacentral:rRNA from 1 species
GGAUGAACGCUGGCGGCGUGCUUAACACAUGCAAGUCGAACGGAAAGGCCCAAGCUUGCUUGGGUACUCGAGUGGCGAACGGGUGAGUAACACGUGGGUGAUCUGCCCUGCACUUCGGGAUAAGCCUGGGAAACUGGGUCUAAUACCGGAUAGGACCACAUUUUGGAUGGUGUGGUGGAAAGUUUUUCGGUGUGGGAUGAGCUCGCGGCCUAUCAGCUUGUUGGUGGGGUAAUGGCCUACCAAGGCGUCGACGGGUAGCCGGCCUGAGAGGGUGUACGGCCACAUUGGGACUGAGAUACGGCCCAGACUCCUACGGGAGGCAGCAGUGGGGAAUAUUGCACAAUGGGCGCAAGCCUGAUGCAGCGACGCCGCGUGGGGGAUGACGGCCUUCGGGUUGUAAACUCCUUUCGCUAGGGACGAAGCGCAAGUGACGGUACCUGGAGAAGAAGCACCGGCUAACUACGU